UAUAGUGUCAGGUCAUGAACACUAUAUAUGUACUAGUUUGUUUGUUUUCUAUUUCAAUGUGAUGUUUAUUAAGGUUGGUUAAAAACCACUUAAUUGAAUGUCCAAUAAGUAUUAUUAGAUCGAUCCAAAUAAUUUUACUUUUGAUAUCAUCUUUAUAUGUUUUCAUCUUCUUCUUUUUUUCCUGAUAUUCAUAUUAUAGUUAAAAAUAGGCAUAUGAUUAUUCAUAA
rnacentral:lncRNA from 1 species